AGAUGGCGACCGGCGCACGGGUGAGUAACACGUAUCCAACCUGCCGAUAACUCGGGGAUAGCCUUUCGAAAGAAAGAUUAAUACCCGAUGGUAUAAUUAGACCGCAUGGUCUUGUUAUUAAAGAAUUUCGGUUAUCGAUGGGGAUGCGUUCCAUUAGGCAGUUGGUGAGGUAACGGCUCACCAAACCUUCGAUGGACAGGGGUUCUGAGAGGAAGGUCCCCCACAUUGGAACUGAGACACGGUCCAA
rnacentral:rRNA from 1 species